rnacentral:rRNA from 1 species
UUUCCGUAGGUGAACCUGCGGAAGGAUCAUUAUUGAAAUAAACCUGAUGGGUUGCUGCUGGCUCUCUAGGGAGCAUGUGCACACUUGUCAUCUUUAUAUCUCCACCUGUGCACCUUUUGUAGAUCUGGAUAUCUUUCUGAAUGCCCUGGCAUUCGGGUUUGAGGAUUGACUUGUCUUUCCUUACACUUCCAGGUCUAUGUUUUCUUCAUAUACACCAUGUAUGUUAUAGAAUGUAAUGCAAAGGCCUUUGUGCCUACAAACCUAUACAACUUUCAGCAACGGAUCUCUUGGCUCUCGCAUCGAUGAAGAACGCAGCGAAAUGCGAUAAGUAAUGUGAAUUGCAGAAUUCAGUGAAUCAUCGAAUCUUUGAACGCACCUUGCGCUCCUUGGUAUUCCGAGGAGCAUGCCUGUUUGAGUGUCAUUAAUAUAUCAACCUCCUCAGGUUUUUACUUGUUGAGUGUUUGGAUGUGGGGGUAUUUUUUUGCUGGUCUCUUUUGAGGUCGGCUCCCCUGAAAUGCAUUAGCGGAACAAUUUGUUGACCCGUUCAUUGGUGUGAUAAACUAUCUACGCUAUUGACGUGAAGCAGGUUCAGCUUCUAACAGUCCAUUGACUUGGACAAAUUUUCAUUAAUGUGACCUCAAAUCAGGUAGGACUACCCGCUGAACUUAA